rnacentral:rRNA from 1 species
CUCUGGCCUACUAAAUAGUUAACACAUUGCUUCUGUGUGCUUGACUUCUUAGAGGGAUUUUCGGUGUUCAGCCGCACGAAAUUGAGCAAUAACAGGUCUGUGAUGCCCUUAGAUGUCCGGGGCUGCACGCGCGCUACACUGGCAAAAUCAGCGUGCUUGUCCUUCCCCGAAAGGGGUUGGUAAACUCUUGAAAAUUUGCCGUGAUUGGGAUCGGAAAUUGCAAUUAUUUUCCGUUAACGAGGAAUUCCUAGUAAGUGCGAGUCAUCAACUCGCGUUGAUUACGUCCCUG